rnacentral:tRNA from 1 species
CGUGGCCGAGUGGUUAAGGCGACAGAUUCGAAAUCUGUUGGAGUUUCUUCGAGCAGGUUCGAGUUUUGUCG